CCUACGGGAGGCAGCAGUGAGGAAUCUUGGUCAAUGGGCGCGAGCCUGAACCAGCAAAGUAGCGUGAAGGAUGGCUGCCCUACGGGUUGUAAACUUCUUUUAUAAAGGAAUAAAGUGAGGCAAGUGUGCCUUUUUGUAUGUACUUUAUGAAUAAGGAUCGACUAACUCCGUGCCAGCAGCCGUGUUAAUACGGAGGAUCAGAGCGUUAUCCGGAUUGAUUGGGUUUAAAGGGAGCGUAGAUGGGUUUGUAAGUCAGUUGUGAAAGUUUGCGGCUCAACCGUUAAAGUGCAAUUGAUACUGGCAGUCUAGAGUACAGUUGAGGGAGGCGGAAUUCGUGGUGUAGCGGUGAAAUGCGGAGAUAUCACGAAGAACUCCGAUGGCGAAGGCAGCUUACUAAACUGCCACUGACAUUGAUGCUCGAAAGUGUGGGUAUCAAACAGGAUUAGAUACCCCAGUAGUC
rnacentral:rRNA from 1 species